UACGAAGGGGGCUAGCGUUGCUCGGAAUUACUGGGCGUAAAGGGAGCGUAGGCGGAUAGUUUAGUCAGAGGUGAAAGCCCAGGGCUCAACCUUGGAAUUGCCUUUGAUACUGGCUAUCUUGAGUACGGAAGAGGUAUGUGGAACUCCGAGUGUAGAGGUGAAAUUCGUAGAUAUUCGGAAGAACACCAGUGGCGAAGGCGCUCACUGGUCCACUACUGACGCUGAGGUGCGAAAGCGUGGGGAGCAAACAGG
rnacentral:rRNA from 1 species